rnacentral:lncRNA from 1 species
GGCGCCCGAAGCCUCGCAGAGGACAGGCCUUCAUGCCCUUCCCUCCCCAGCCCCGCGACGUGGGGUGCCGCUUUGAUCUUCGCUCUUCCCCGGAGGCUGAGUGGCUCACUGGCUCACAAAACAAAAGAUAAGCAGACAAUCCUAGAAGCUUUUGGAGACUGAAAAAGUCACACCAUGAGGAUCGAGAAUCAGAAUGGCAUCGGACUGCCUAACAUCAACCCAGAACACCACAUGCCAAUAGAGAACUGCCUUCAGAAUUCUGAGGGGAGAUGAUUUCCAACUGAGAUUUAUACCUCCAGCCAAACUGUCAAUCAAUUAUCCAAAAACUGAACUCCCAUAUGCAGCCUCCAAGGAAGCUACUGGCGUGUAUAUUACAACAAAAUGAAGGGAGUAAAGCAAGAAAGAAGAUGACUUAGUAUCUAA